AAGACCUUGCGCUUUUGGAGCGGCCGAUGCCUGAUUAGCUAGUUGGUGGGGUAAUGGCCUACCAAAGCUUCGAUCAGUAGCUGGUCUGAGAGGACGACCAGCCACACUGGGACUGAGACACGGCCCAGACUCCUACGGGAGGCAGCAGUGGGGAAUUUUGGACAAUGGGCGCAAGCCUGAUCCAGCCAUGCCGCGUGAGUGAAGAAGGCCUUCGGGUUGUAAAGCUCUUUCAAUCGGGAAGAAAAGGUUGCGACUAAUAAUCGCAAUUCAUGACGGUACCGGAAGAAGAAGCACCGGCUAACUACGUGCCAGCAGCCGCGGUAAUACGUAGGGUGCGAGCGUUAAUCGGAAUUACUGGGCGUAAAGGGUGCGCAGGCGGUUUUGUAAGUCAGAUGUGAAAUCCCCGGGCUUAACCCGGGAACU
rnacentral:rRNA from 1 species